CCUUCGCGGCUUGUUUCAGGUGCUUUGCAAUCCUCGAUUGGCAGAGUGAAACAGGGAAGCCGGUGAGGACGCCUUGCAACUCCGAUCCCGGCGCUGCCCCCGCAACGGUAAAUGAGUCAAGACUGCGCUCGAUGCCACUGUGUCCCAGGACACGGGAAGGCGCGCAGGCCAGGCAGAUGCCUGCUCAUGAGCCCGGAGACCGGCCUGAUCCACUCAACAGCA
rnacentral:ncRNA from 2 species